rnacentral:rRNA from 1 species
GCGUGCCGCAGCUAACGCAAUAAGUAUCCCACCUGGGGAGUACGAUCGCAAGGUUGAAACUCAAAGGAAUUGACGGGGGCCCGCACAAGCGGUGGAUUAUGUGGUUUAAUUCGAUGCAACGCGAAGAACCUUACCAGGGCUUGACAUCCUACUAACGAAGUAGAGAUACAUUAGGUACCCUUCGGGGGAAGUAGAGACAGGUGGUGCAUGGUUGUCGUCAGCUCGUGUCGUGAGAUGUUGGGUUAAGUCCCGCAACGAGCGCAACCCUUAUUGUUAGUUGCUACGCAAGAGCACUCUAGCGAGACUGCCGUUGACAAAACGGAGGAAGGUGGGGACGACGUCAAAUCAUCAUGCCCCUUAUGUCCUGGGCUACACACGUAAUACAAUGGCGGCCAACAGAGGGAAGCAAUACUGUGAAGUGGAGCGAACCCCUAAAAGCCGUCCCAGUUCAGAUUGCAGUCUGCAACUCGACUGCAUGAAGUCGGAAUCGCUAGUAAUCGCGGAUCAGCAUGCCGCGGUGAAUACGUUCCCGGGCCUUGUACACACCGCCCGUCACACCAUGAGAGUCGGGAACACCCGAAGUCCGUAGCCUAACCGCAAGGAGGGCGCGGCCGAAGGUGGGUUCGAUAAUUGGGGUGAAGUCGUAACAAGGUAACCGU